rnacentral:rRNA from 1 species
ACGGGUGAGUAACGCGUGGGAAUCUACCCAUCUCUACGGAAUAACGCAUGGAAACGUGUGCUAAUACCGUAUACGUCCUUCGGGAGAAAGAUUUAUCGGAGAUGGAUGAGCCCGCGUUGGAUUAGCUAGUUGGUGGGGUAAAGGCCUACCAAGGCGACGAUCCAUAGCUGGUCUGAGAGGAUGAUCAGCCACACUGGGACUGAGACACGGCCCAGACUCCUACGGGAGGCAGCAGUGGGGAAUAUUGGACAAUGGGCGCAAGCCUGAUCCAGCCAUGCCGCGUGAGUGAUGAAGGCCCUAGGGUUGUAAAGCUCUUUCACCGGUGAAGAUAAUGACGGUAACCGGAGAAGAAGCCCCGGCUAACUUCGUGCCAGCAGCCGCGGUAAUACGAAGGGGGCUAGCGUUGUUCGGAUUUACUGGGCGUAAAGCGCACGUAGGCGGACUAUUAAGUCAGGGGUGAAAUCCCGGGGCUCAACCCCGGAACUGCCUUUGAUAUUGGUAGUCUUGAGUUCGAGAGAGGUGAGUGGAAUUCCGAGUGUAGAGGUGAAAUUCGUAGA